UACGUAGGGGGCGAGCGUUGUCCGGAUUUAUUGGGCGUAAAGGGCGUGUAGGCGGCCUGGUAAGUCGGGGGUGAAAACUCAGGGCUCAACCCUGAGACUGCCUUCGAUACUGCUGGGCUUGAGUGCUCUAGAGGGUAGUGGAAUUGCCGGUGUAGCAGUGACAUGCGUAGAGAUCGGCAGGAACACCAGUGGCGAAGGCGACUGCCUGGGGAGUAACUGACGCUCAGGCGCGACAGCGUGGGGAUCAAACAGG
rnacentral:rRNA from 1 species